ACCUGUGAUUCUGUCUGAGCUCUG
rnacentral:piRNA from 1 species